rnacentral:rRNA from 1 species
GUACCGUGAGGGAAAGGCGAAAAGAACCCCGGCGAGGGGAGUGAAAAAGAACCUGAAACCGUGUACGUACAAGCAGUGGGAGCACAGGUUUACCUGUGUGACUGCGUACCUUUUGUAUAAUGGGUCAGCGACUUAUAUUCUGUAGCAAGGUUAACCGAAUAGGGGAGCCGGAGGGAAACCGAGUCUUAAUUGGGCGUUAAGUUGCAGGGUAUAGACCCGAAACCCGGUGAUCUAGCCAUGGGCAGGUUGAAGGUUGGGUAACACUAACUGGAGGACCGAACCGACUAAUGUUGAAAAAUUAGCGGAUGACCUGUGGCUGGGGGUGAAAGGCCAAUCAAACCGGGAGAUAGCUGGUUCUCCCCGAAAGCUAUUUAGGUAGCGCCUCGUGAAUUCAUCUCCGGGGGUAGAGCACUGUUUCGGCUAGGGGGCCAUCCCGGCUUACCAACCCGAUGCAAACUGCGAAUACCGGAGAAUGUUAUCACGGGAGACACACGGCGGGUGCUAACGUCCGUCGUGAAGAGGGAAACAACCCAGACCGCCAGCUAAGGUCCCAAAGUCAUGGUUAAGUGGGAAACGAUGUGGGAAGGCCCAGACAGCCAGGAUGUUGGCUUAGAAGCAGCCAUCAUUUAAAGAAAGCGUAAUAGCUCACUGGUCGAGUCGGCCUGCGCGGAAGAUGUAACGGGGCUAAACCAUGCACCGAAGCUGCGGCAGCGAACGUAUCACUUAAAGCGAUUCAGCGGGUUACGAUUGACGGAGCGAAGCGACGUCAAAGCGUAUACAAAGUCGAGUCGGUUUAAGGAUACGUU